rnacentral:rRNA from 1 species
GACGAACGCUGGCGGCGUGCUUAACACAUGCAAGUCGAACGCUGAAGCUCAGCUUUUGUUGGGUGGAUGAGUGGCGAACGGGUGAGUAACACGUGAGUAACCUGCCUCCUUCUUUGGGAUAACGCCCGGAAACGGGUGCUAAUACUGGAUAUUCACUGGUCUUCGCAUGGGGGUUGGUGGAAAGGGUUUUUCUGGUGGGGGAUGGGCUCGCGGCCUAUCAGCUUGUUGGUGGGGUGAUGGCCUACCAAGGCUUUGACGGGUAGCCGGCCUGAGAGGGUGACCGGUCACGUUGGGACUGAGAUACGGCCCAGACUCCUACGGGAGGCAGCAGUGGGGAAUAUUGCACAAUGGGCGCAAGCCUGAUGCAGCGACGCCGCGUGAGGGGUGGAGGCCUUCGGGUUGUGAACCUCUUUCGCUCAUGGUCAAGCCGCAACAAUGGUUGUGGUGAGGGUAGUGGGUAAAGAAGCGCCGGCUAACUACGU